rnacentral:rRNA from 1 species
GAUGAACGCUGGCGGCGUGCCUAAUACAUGCAAGUCGAGCGAACAGACGAGGAGCUUGCUCCUCUGACGUUAGCGGCGGACGGGUGAGUAACACGUGGAUAACCUACCUAUAAGACUGGGAUAACUUCGGGAAACCGGAGCUAAUACCGGAUAAUAUAUUGAACCGCAUGGUUCAAUAGUGAAAGACGGUUUUGCUGUCACUUAUAGAUGGAUCCGCGCCGCAUUAGCUAGUUGGUAAGGUAACGGCUUACCAAGGCAACGAUGCGUAGCCGACCUGAGAGGGUGAUAGGCCACACGGGAACUGAGACACGGUCCAGGCUCCUACGGGAGGCAGCAGUAGGGAAUCUGCCGCAAUGGGCGAAAGCUUGACGGAGCAACGCCGCGUGAGUGAUGAAGGUCUUCGGAUCGUAAAACUCUGUUAUUAGGGAAGAACAAAUGUGUAAGUAACUAUGCACGUCUUGACGGUACCUAAUCAGAAAGCCACGGCUAACUACGUG